UACGUAGGCAGCGAGCGUUGUUCGGAGUUACUGGGCGUAAAGGGUGCGUAGGCGGUCCCUUAAGUUUGGUGUGAAAUCUCCCGGCUCAACUGGGAGGGUGCGCCGGAUACUGAGGGACUAGAGUGUGGGAGAGGAAAGUGGAAUUCCUGGUGUAGCGGUGAAAUGCGUAGAUAUCAGGAGGAACACCGGCGGUGUAAACGGCUUUCUGGACCAUAACUGACGCUGAGGCACGAAAGCGUGGGGAG
rnacentral:rRNA from 1 species